rnacentral:rRNA from 1 species
UGCCAGAGAACUACUAGCAACAGCUUAAAACUCAAAGGACUUGGCGGUGCUUUAUAUCCCUCUAGAGGAGCCUGUUCUAUAAUCGAUAAACCCCGAUAAACCUCACCACUUCUAGCUAAAUCAGUCUAUAUACCGCCAUCUUCAGCAAAC